GACGAACGCUGGCGGCGUGCUUAACACAUGCAAGUCGAACGAUGAAGCCGGAGCUUGCUCUGGUGAAUUAGUGGCGAACGGGUGAGUAACACGUGAGUAACCUGCCCUUGACUCUGGGAUAACUGCUAGAAAUGGUAGCUAAUACCGGAUACGACCCUCGGAGGCAUCCCCAGGCGGUGGAAAGAAUUUCGGUCAAGGAUGGACUCGCGGCCUAUCAGCUAGUUGGUGAGGUAACGGCUCACCAAGGCGACGACGGGUAGCCGGCCUGAGAGGGUGACCGGCCACACUGGGACUGAGACACGGCCCAGACUCCUACGGGAGGCAGCAGUGGGGAAUAUUGCACAAUGGGCGCAAGCCUGAUGCAGCAACGCCGCGUGAGGGAUGACGGCCUUCGGGUUGUAAACCUCUUUUAGUAGGGAAGAAGCGAAAGUGACGGUACCUGCAGAAAAAGCACCGGCUAACUACGUGCCAGCCGCCGCAGUAA
rnacentral:rRNA from 1 species